UACGGAGGGGGCUAGCGUUGUUCGGAAUUACUGGGCGUAAAGCGCGCGUAGGCGGAUCUGCAAGUCGGGGGUGAAAUCCCGAGGCUCAACCUCGGAACUGCCUUCGAUACUGCGGGUCUCGAGUCCGGGAGAGGUGAGUGGAAUUCCUAGUGUAGAGGUGAAAUUCGUAGAUAUUAGGAAGAAACACCAGUGGCGAAGGCGGCUCACUGGCCCGGUACUGACGCUGAGGCGGCGAAA
rnacentral:rRNA from 1 species